rnacentral:rRNA from 1 species
CCUACGGGAGACAGCAGUGGGGAAUAUUGGGCAAUGGGCGCAAGCCUGACCCAGCAACGCCGCGUGAAGGAAGAAGGCUUUCGGGUUGUAAACUUCUUUUCUCAGGGACGAAGCAAGUGACGGUACCUGAGCAAUAAGCCACGGCUAACUACGUGCCAGCAGCCGCGGUAAUACGUAGGUGGCAAGCGUUAUCCGGAUUUACUGGGUGUAAAGGGCGUGUAGGCGGGGACGCAAGUCAGAUGUGAAAACCAUGGGCUCAACCUGUGGCCUGCAUUUGAAACUGGGUUUCUUGAGUACUGGAGAGGCAGACGGAAUUCCUAGUGUAGCGGUGAAAUGCGUAGAUAUUAGGAGGAACACCAGUUGCGAAGGCGGCUCUCUGGACUGUAACUGACACUGAGGCACGAAAGCGUGGGGAGCAAACAGGAUUAGAUACCCCAGUAGUC